UGUAGCCGUUAGGGGUGUUUUCCCGGAAAACCGGGAUAACUGAGAUUAAACCCUGAAACCUGAUCUGGAUAAUACCAGCGUAGGAAAACGGGCUAAAGAAUGA
rfam:Ignavibacteria bacterium RIFOXYB2_FTLL_36_7 rifoxyb2_full_scaffold_7333, whole genome shotgun sequence.